GACGAACCGUGCGAACGUUGUUCGGAAUCACUGGGCUUAAAGGGCGCGUAGGCGGCAUAGCAAGUCCGGGGUGAAAGCCCCCGGCUCAACCGGGGAAGUGCCUUGGAAACUGCUGUGCUCGAGGGAGGUAGGGGUCGAGGGAACUUCUGGUGGAGCGGUGAAAUGCGUUGAUAUCAGAAGGAACGCCGGUGGCGAAAGCGCUCGACUGGACCUUUUCUGACGCUGAGGCGCGAAAGCUAGGGGAGCAAACAGG
rnacentral:rRNA from 1 species